rnacentral:tRNA from 1 species
AGCAGCGUGGCUCAGUGGAAAGAGCCCAGCCUUGGGAGUUGGAGGUGGUGGGUUCUAAUCCUGCCUCUGCCA